rnacentral:rRNA from 1 species
AUGGGACUCCAGUACAAGUUGGUUUACAAAAAAGGCCAUGAAAAUGCAGCUGCUGAUGGUCUUUCCUGUCAAGCAAUUCCUGAAUCAUGUCAUGCAAUUUCUCUCUGUCAGCCCAAGUGGUUGGAAGUAAUUGUGGAUGGCUACACAAAAGAUGAUACAACUAAAAAUUUGUUACAGGAGUUGAGUUUCACCAUAUCUAACUCUGCUGGCUACGCGUUGGUGAAUGGUAUUAUCAGGGAUAAGGGACGCGUCUGGCUCGGCUCCAACGCUGAGGCACAUCAAGCUAUUCUGCUCUCCUGCAUGCAAGUGGCAUUGGUGGUCACUCUGGGUUCUUAG